ensembl:lncRNA
UCCCCAGGAUAUGGUAAUAGAAAUGGGCUGGUAGCCCAGCCAGGGUGAGACCACAGAGACCAAGCUUGAGGACCCAGGAGGGAGGAGGGGGUGUGACUGGGUGGAUGGAAAGCAGGAGCCCUUCGGCUGCCUGUUGUGGGCUGUGGAAGCUGAUCUUUCUCCAGCCCGGCAGCUGUCCCUUCAGUUGGUAGCUUGGCCUGGUCCAGCCUCCAGGACAGCCAGGUGGGGCCCUAACCUCCCACUCCUUUCCCUCCUCCCCACUUAGGUUCCUGCCGUGAGGGAGUUGUUCCCCUGCUGCUCCCCAGGCCUUCCACUUCAGGGAUCUCUUCAGAUAAAGGGGGUGGCUGGGGCCUGAAAUCUCAGCCCUCUCCCCCAGUGCAGAAUGGCAAGGUCCCAGCACUGACCCCAGCCAUCCAGUAGGGACAGGAAGCUCAGAAAGCAGGCUACUUGCCUCUCAGUGGCUAUGGACCUGGAGCAGAAUUGAGUGAGACGGUCCUUGUCUGCCUGCCAGUCUCCCUUCAGACCCUUCUUCACCCACUUCCACUUGUUCACCGCCUUCCCACUGCCAGCCCAGGAAGAGGGUUAGCAAAGGCUGAGCCAGCUCUGACCCAGUCUCCUCUCCCCACGUUUUGGUGGUGACCUCAUGCUGCAGAAAGUAGGGUUCUCUGAGGCCAAUGGCUGUGGGAAUGGGCAAAGAGAGAAGCUCCUGGGUACCCCAAGGCUGCAGCUCCAGCUCCUGGAGGGGUCAGUAAGAAGCAGCCAGGUCAGCCUGGAGUCCAUUGGGGCUCUCUCUGGCCCUACCUACAGCCCUGGGCAGCUUGGGUCAGGACUGAAUAUGGACAUGCAGGGCUCAGGAGCCAGCCAGGGACCUAUGGACAGCUGCGGCCUGCCCUGGGCCCAGGGCCCUUUGGGAGCCCUGACAUGAAGAGAGGCAGCAAUGGCCAGUUGGAAGCCAGUUACGCAGGUGGCCCGGCUCAGGUAACCAGGCUGGCAGCCCAUCUCCAUGGGCUUUUCUGCAGUAGCUCAGGAGUAUCAGGAAGCCAACCCUGACCUUGGAGGACCUCUAAGAGCCCAGGACCCACCAGCAAGAAAAGGUAGUCUAUUAGUGUCCUGUGACUGCUAUAAGUAACAACUGAGUGGCUGAAGACAACAGAAAUUUGUUCUUUCACAGUUCUGGAGGCCAGAAAUCCAAAAUGAAGAGAUUAGUAGGGCAUCAGUCCCUCUGCAGCACUUGGGAAGGAUCCUUCCUUGACUCUCUCAGCUUCUAACUGUUCCAGGCCUCUCUUGGCUUGUGGCCACAUCACUCCAACCUCUGUCUUCUUCACAUGCUUUUCCACUGUGUUUGUCUCACAACUCCAUUUUUCUUUUCUUAGACAAGCACUCUGCCACUGAGCUAUACCCCCAACCCUUUAUUUUUUAUUAUGAGAUAGAGUUUCACUAAGUUGCCCAGGCUGCCUCAAUCUCGCCAUCCUGCUGCCCCAGCCUCCUGAGUGGCUGGGUUCAAGGCAUAUACCACCAUACUUGCCUAUUUUUCUCUUACAAGUAUUAUAGACAGCUAAGUUAGGUAGAAAUAGAGGGAUGAUGACUGUUAGCGUUAUGUAUAUCUAAAAUGUACCAAUAAAGGUUUUGCUUCAAAAAGAAAAAAGAAAGACAUAUGGGCAGUCAGACAGGGAUAGGCCCUCGAGGGAGUGAGUGCAGAAGGUGAGAAAACAUUACAGCUGGCUGGAGGCACAUUUGUUGAAGGCCAGGCCUAUAUGCCUCCCUGAGGGAUAAGCAAUAAAUUAAAGAUUAUACCUGGUCCAAUAAAGUCUAGCACCCAGGUGGGUGACCUCUUGAUCCAUCCCUUCCUAAAAAGGUCUUUGUUCUUUCCAUAUACACGUACUAUGUGACCUGCUUCCCCAUUGGUCAAUAUUACCUAAGUAGCUAUACUUACAAUCUUAUUGGUUAGUCAGAGUUUUGAUUCAUGUAGUACCCACUUUGUGAUUUUGCUCUACAAAACUGACUCUGAGAAGUGGGAUCCAUGAUCACCUACUUUCAGGUCCCCUCCUGUCUCCAGGAGAUCUCUCUCUCAAUAAAUUUAUCCUACUCUUAACCUCUUUUGUUCUUUAGAAUUCAUUCUUCCAUUUUGGGGAAUAUAAACUCGGUGUAUCUGACAUCUAGCAGGUUGAGUUGUAUUAUUCCCCCUAUAUCACAAAGACAUCUGUCAUUGGUUGUGGAGCCUAUCAACCCAAAUUGAUCACAUCUUGAGAUCCUUCAUUUAAUAGCAUUUGCAAAGAUCCCCAGGUUCCACUUACAUUUAUGGGGCCAUCAUCUGAUCUGUAUAAGCAGUGUCCUCUACCCUGUGGGGCUGGCUCACCUCCCUUCCUGUCUUCCCAGAACUUUCGGUGUUCUAGACCUUGUCCCUUACUGACCUAGGGAAUUGCGUGACCCUAGCACCCUUGGGCAGGAGCUGAUAAACAUCAGACUUUAACUGUAGCUUAUUGCCGCAGGAAGAAGAUAAAAGGACUGUCUUUCCCCUUUUCUGAAUUCUGACUGAGUUCCUACUUGCUUUCCCACCCUCCUUUAAGUUGUGCAGUUGCAGGCCGGGACUUUAGCUCAGUGGUUCUGCUACCUGCUUCAAAAGUGCAAGGACCCGAGUUUGAUCCCCGGUACCAGAAAAAAAGAAAAAAAAAAAAAAAGUUGUACAGUUGCAAUUGGCUAACAAGUGAAGCGGAGUAAACAAGAGGGACAAUGAAUGUGUCCUCUUAAAGAUAGCACUAAUCAGGGGACCCCACCCUUAGACUCUGGGAGCCAGAAGUGCUGCUGGUUGGAAGC